UAAAUUAACGAAUAUAAGCCGCUAACUUAUAAAUUCAAGUGGUUAAAAUCCAUUUAUAUCUUUUUAACAU
rnacentral:tRNA from 1 species